rnacentral:lncRNA from 1 species
CUACUUAUGAUUAAGAAGAUAAUAUGAAACAUAUGUUUAGGACAUCUUACUUUUUAACUGUUCUGUCAUGUGGAAUGUUUUGUGCAUCAAUUAAAUCACAGUUUAGAAUUGAGAAUACACACACACACAUAUAUCUUGCUGGAGUUUAUUGAGGAUACAGGUUUUUUGAUAAUAUAUCUGAACUGCCCAAAGCUAUUUUUGAUAUGUUCUAGCAGUCGAUGUAUACAAGGAGCAUGCUGCAGACCUGAAUGAUUUUGGAUUCUCCGGCCAAAACUCAUGCUUCCUUCGAUCUUCUGGGUAUACGUUAAGAAACAAGCGAUCAGACCAGUCAAGCGACUGUCCUUCGGCUGGGACAGGAUCAGCUCCAUAUCCUUCAAACUCUUCCACUCCUUUAGCAUGCCUUUUCUUCUCCUCCAUUGGCUGCUCGAAGAAAUCCCUUGCUACUUGGCGAAUCUUAUCAAGAAAUGAUUUUGGAAUACCGUGACCUGUUGCCUGAAAUCCACAGGUAGUUUUAACAACGUAGCAUGGAGCACAAAAACGAAAUCAACUCAAUAAAAUGCAAAAGAGGUAGCUUUUUCCUUUUUUUUUGUCAGGUUCUGGGUAUAUAGUUAGGGCAUAUAGAUAAUGAUUCUGGAUAUCUUGUUGAAUAUUCACGCUUCUAAUGCAACUUGCCUACACAUCUCUUGAUCUUUUUGCUAAGAUCAUGCUUGACACUGGCUUUAGACUUCUAAUUGGUGGUAUGUUCGGUAUUCUGGGCUAUCAUUUCAAGUCUCGGUCUCCGUGAAGGGUAAAUAAAGUUCAUACCUGAAAGCAGCCCCAUGAACAAAGAGCUGAUCUAAGCCGCUGCAGUUCUUGUGCAGAGCAUGGCUCUGAAGGAGAGGAGGCUGAGGUCUAUGAUCGGAAUCAGAUCAGAUGGGGGACUGGGAAUUGCUUCAUUAGUGCCAUCAUGUCUACUGAUGUAUGGCUUUUGUGGUUCUUCAUCGUUGAGGACCAUUUCCUGAACACGCUUUGAUAGCAAAAUCUUUGCAGGGAGAGCUGAAACUCCAGCCAUUUUUGUUAGGAAGUUCUGUGAUUGCAAGUCUGGUCUUUCUGUGAUUCUUGCUAAUGUUUGUGAGGUGUUGUGGUUGGUAUAUAUCAGGAAAAAUCAUGUAGAGAAGAGAGCUCAAGUUAGAGGAGCUAUGGACAAUCUUUAUAUGAAUGGUGAGGUGUGCUGGUGCUGGAGCUGGAGCUCAAUGAACCGACUCCUGAGCUUAGUUUUGGAAGAUUGGCUUGGCUGAUUUGUCGUUGAGCUUGAGGUAGUUACUAGAUUUGUGCCCUGUGAUCCACCGAGGAGGCGCAAAAUUUUUCUCAUGAAAAAUGCUAAGGAAAAAAAUAAUAAUAUGAGAAUCCAAUUGUUAGUUUAAUUGAUAAUUUAAAUAAUAUGGUUUAAAAAAUAUAUUAAUAAAAAAAUUGAUAUAAAAAAAAAUUUAUGUUUACCUGAAUUAUAAAAUAACUCAAUAUUAAAAAAAAAAUUCUCUAUUUAAAAAAUCCCAAAUUUACUUGAAUUAAAAAAAAAUACAAAAGAAAAUCCCUAGUUAAAUUAAAUCCACUCGCAAACUUUGUGAUCACACAAAAUUGAUAUAAUAUCAUAAAAAAAAAAUUCCAAGUAGCUUCACUUUUCUUUUAUACAUUUUGGUUCUUCAUCAUAUAAUUGAUUAGCAUCUCCCCCAUCAUUCUAACUUUUCUAAAAUACAUGUUAGUUUCUCAUUUCCACCCCUUUAAAAAGGGUAAAUAGACUCUUAUAAACAAAAUUUAUUUAUUAUAGUCUAGUUUAUAAGUUUUAAAGAGUUUUAUUCUUCAAAUAAAUUUCAACUUAGGGUUUACGUGACCCAAAAAAACCAAUUAGGUUGACUUGAAAACACUGGUUCAAUCUUGAAUCAAACCGAAAACUAUGGUUUGACUUGAAAUUAAAGCGAAAUAUACAAUUAAACCAAAAAUAGAUAAAAACUCAAAAAAAAAACAUGAAAUAUCUAACAAAACCAGAUCAAACACCAAAAACAUAAUGAACAUUCAAACCAAAACCCAGCAAACACAAAUCGCAAACAACAUAAUUUUUCAUACAAUCAAGGGCACAAUUUUGCUCAUGAUCAUACAUAAAUCAAGAAUCAAGCAUUCAUAUUUUUUUUUUAUUGAUAAUCAAAAGCCAUCAUUUGAUCAAAAUGUAUUUUGACAGUCAAAAGAAUCUUAAAAUCUAAAUUUAUGAAUAUCUGUUACUAAUGCAUUUUAACCUUGUAUUAAUUGGUAAAGAUGACGAGCUAAUAUAUCUAUGGAAAUAAUUAACUUAAAAUUUUAAAAACAAGAGCCUAAUGCAAAGUUCAUGCAAAGAAUAUGAACUCAAAAUCUGAAACUUUUUUAGAAAUUGAAAAACUAAUGUCAAAACCCAGAUUUGACAUUCUAAGCCUUUGUUUGAAAAAACAAAUAGGUGUCACAAUCAAGAUUGAUUUGGUUGACCAAUUUUGAGGCUUUUUCAUAGCAACUCUAAUGUAAACAUCAUCAGAAAUCACUUGAAGUUGGUAAAGGAGGUGUGCAUCUUUCAUUUGGAUCUAACCUUGCUCAAUUUGGAGAUUCGUAACUUCACAUUUAUUCAUUCAAAUGUGCUAACUCAAUCAUCCCAAAAUCUGAAAACACAAGGAAAAGAAUCGGGGACAAGAUGUUGGAGACUUCUGUGGAAGAAUUAGGGUGUAAACAUUUAAUUUUAUAAGCAUGCUAUGUUGAACAUGCUUACACGAUCAUCCAAAAUUUCCAAGGAAGGACAUGACCAAUGGGUGAAGAACACGUCGUCUAGGUAAACCCUAAGAGUUAAGGUUUUUUUUAAUUUAGGAUUUGCUUAAUUUCAAUUUGGUCCCUACUCUUCCAAUUCCUUUUAAUUGCAUAAAAUUACACCCUUGCGAAAUUUCAAUAUCAGCCCAAGAGUUUAACACCUUUUAUAGACAAGUCAUUGGUUUUUAAUUUGUUUAAUUUUAUCCUUAAUUGACCAUAAAAAUUUCAAUUUUUUUCAAUUUGACUUCUGAUUAGACCAAUUUCUACCCCUAAAAUUACAUGCCACUUAUAGGUUAGUCCUUGGUCUUGGAAAUCUCCAAUUAAAUCCUUAAAUGACCUCAAAACUUUUUUAUAUAUAUAAUUAAGCCUCUGAUUUAACCAAUUAAACAUUUCAAAGUCUAAUUUCAAUCACCAAACUUCAAUUUCUUCUAAUUAACACCCAAAUUAACUAAAAAAUUAUUUUUCUUACACUAAACUAACCUAAGAUCACUAAGUCAUCAUAUAUAAAGAAUGUUAUGUUUUGAUCCUGUUACAUGUUAUCUUAAUCGAGAUAACGAAAUGGUAGAUAUUGAGUAUAGCAUGAACUAUAUGAAGGUACUUGAUUGAUUAAGAGAGGAAUCAUCACCUUAGGCGAAUUAGGAAAAAUGUUUCAUCAAUUCUCAAAUAAUAUUGACUAAGAAAUCCUUAGCCAAGGUGGAAUAAGAUUUGAAAAGGGUUUCAAAUCUUAUUCAAAUAAUUAAUGACUAUUAUGUGGAGAACAUGAUUUAACAUGACAGACAUACCCCAUACUUUAAUGUUUAAAUCGGAACAUUAUUGAAGAAAUAAUAUUAAGUAUACUGAAAAACCAGCCACUGAAAAGUUAAGUUAAACCACUAAUGACUUUUCUAGUACUUGGGGGAACAUGACACGUUACUAGACGAUACACAUAAUCUUUAAAUAUAAAUUAAUCAAUUAUUGAAUUGAUAAUAAAUUUAUUUAUUUAAUUAGUAUUGAAAUGUAUAUUUGAGCCAACAUAUUAAAAGCCUAAUAGGUCAUACAAUUUAGAAUCAUUAAUCAGAAAUUAAACUAAGAUGAUUUAAUAUAAGUUUAACUUGAUUAAAAAUAUAUUUUAUAACUUAAGAACUAGAAUAUAAGUAAUACAUAGAUUAUAUUUCUAGACCUAGAAAAAUCAAGGACUUGAUUGAGUUAAUUUCUAAAAUUCUCAAUUAAUAAACAAAUAUUAUUCAAAGGGCAAACUAAUAUUUUUCUAAUUUAUUUGGUUUUUCAUAUUUUCCUAUAAAUAGUAAGUUAUACAUCUUAUUUUAAAAUGGAAGGAGUGGUUGUCAUUAGAUAGAAAAACUACGUAAACACAAUAUUAGAAUUAGCAUUCUAGACAUAAUAAUCUCUCUUAAAUAGUGAUUUCUUAUGGGUAGUCUGUCUGGAUAAUUGGAAGGAUUGUGUUUUGUGACAACCCAAUCUUUAAAUAAUUAUUCAAAGUAAAAAAAGAUCAGAUCUUUAAAUAAUAAAUCCUUAAAUAAUUAUAAAUUUAUCUAACAAGAUUCUAAAGACACCCGAAUAAUUUUAUUUUAUAGUUUUCACUAUACGUAAGAUAUUAAGGAACCCAACAAUAACACUUGGUUAUUAGAUUGGUUAAGAACUUAUGAGAUAAACUUGUAUCCAUCAUGUGGUCGUAUGCAAGUUUGUUUGAUACCGUGGUUGAAAACGAACAAGAAGCACACUUCAAGGUCACUCUCUGUCUUCUUGCCUGGAAUAAACUCACUCCAGUGCAGUGGGAGGACCCCCUAUAAUAGGAUGCUACUCGUACCUGUAGAAAGAAGAGCGAGAGCGGAAGAGUAGGAUUCGGUAACUAGGAAAUGCCCCAUGCUCGAGGAGAAGGAGACCGGAUAGAGAAGAACGGGGCACACUCCCCAUUAAGAGAAAGCACAGGGAAUCUCAAUAUAACCAGAGUGACCCGGGAAAGAAAGACAUACUUUAGUACGUCCAAAGGCGGGUGUUGGUCUGUCAAGGAUGGACAUAGAUGCCCCCUUUUUUACUGAAAGUUGAUCCAGUUGCCAGAACGCCAGGUUCUAACAUAACAUCUAUUACUUUGAUACUUAACAUUCCGUAACGAGUAGAUACUUCCGCAGAAACAUAAUCGAGAUUGGAUCUUGUACGAAGGUAGACUUCACACCUACCCCAUUUAGACGAUAAAUAUAAUAAAUGGGUUUCUUGCGGGCAUUUUGCCAGCUUGAUUCUGAGAAAGAGCUCGUCGGCCUGUUGGGGUUCUUCUAAGAUAUUUCGAAUCAACUUAACCCUAUUCAACAAACAGGUGAUUAUGUACAAAAGGCUUGUUAUUGAAUGGCCCCUCUUUGCAACUGAUUUCAUUCAUAUUCGGGGUUAUUCAUAGGUUUUUAAUCCUGCGUACUCCCGCAUAAAGAAUGAGCAACCGCAACCUGAAACAAUAUCUUAUUUAAGAAGAGCGCUUGCCACUCCUCUAGUGUGAUUUCCAUCGGAGAUAGAAAACCUCUUAUCUUAGGCAUAGACAAAGAUAGCAUUUUGGUGAAAAGUCACAGAGAUUUCGUGCACGGCACUAAAGAGGCCUCUAAUCGACACUCACUCCUAUGCAGGAGAUGCCACACUGACUGCUCUAGCAGAUAGGAUGAAGAAGGAAGAACGAUUAUGGUAGAAAAGACUCUUGAGAGCUCGGCUAUAGAGCAAUUCUUCGACUAGGGAAAUGGGAGAAAGACCUUUCUUUAUUUAUUUAGGCAGGAAGAGCGAAAUGGUCUCUCGAUCCUAGGAGAAAAGAAAGAUUAGGAUACCGCCCUUCUCUCAUGACUUCGGAAUCGAGCCAAGGCCCACCUCUAAAGUGACGUAGACCCGGUCCCUAACGAAACUAAACUUGAGCAAUUUCCGUUCGUUCGGUUGAUUUCAUGCUGACCAGGCAAUGAGAAUUAAGGAGGUUAGUGAUAGGACUAGUUUCCGCUUAUGCGGGUGCUGUAGCUAAUACACGAGUACGAGACGAAGCCAGUAAGAGCUGAAAGCGAAUUCCACUGGGGGAGCAAAUUCCACUCCUUCUUCCCUUCCAGUUGCAGUCCCAAGGGAGAGUCAACUCUUCUUUUUAUUAGCCUUCGGCUUCUUAGCCUGCUUUCUUAGCUCUAUACCUCUUCUUCUCCCUAAGGCCUUUGGUCGCCUUGCUUUUGACCUUCAGCUUCUUUCCCGGUCUCAGAGCCUAGUGUUUUAGCCCUGCUUUGCCCAUCUCCCUUUACUACUCUUCCAGUUCCUCGUGGACCAGACAAGGAUGAAGAUAGGAGUGAGAAGGCAGUUUCUCUUUACUAAAGAUCUCCACUUUUAACAAGGGAUCUUUCUAAAUACCCGGUCAAGAUCUCCUGAGCGGAAUAUAAAAAGAAAAGAGAGUCGACUCCUUUAUCCGUUUACUACAUAUACUGCCUUAUAUCCGUCACAUGCUUUCCUUCAAACUACUCUAUUUCAUUCAAAUCGUCACUUCCGAGCUUGAAAAGAAGCCGAGUCUGUAGCCUUAAAUUAAAAUAUCAACAAAGACAUCCGUAGAAUCUUUUACAUAAUCAACAAGAGAAUGGCCUUUCGAAUGCCCCCUUCCUUACUUUUCUGAGAAGCCCUUUACGACUAUAAAGGACAGGGGGCUGUUCACCUUUGGAAACUUAGCUACACCGGUCACGACAUGUUGUUUGUUGAUAUUUAUUGAGGAGUUGGAUGGAGUUUAGCUGACUGAAUCCAUAAACCUAGAAAGUCACCGUCACGGGUACUUUUUUGACUCUAUAGGUAGGUAUUGGUGGAGCUUGCGUAAUGUAGUUGUAGUUAAGGCUGCAUUGAAGUCUUUCUUUUUUGAAGAUCUACUGAAGUAUCAAAGGCGAACCCCAGGCCGGGACGUCUGGCAGAAUGCUUGGCCUCCUGCGCUGGAAGCCCGAAGGGUGAGCUUCUGGUGGUUAGCUUCUAGAACUAGAUAAUAGGCAUUAGGCAUUCUGAGCUGGAAGGGGGCAAGCAAAUGAAGGGAGGCGGGCCGACUACAAGAAGCGAAGCUUAGGGAGCGACGGCCGACCACUACAUAAGCUGCUGGCGGAGAAAGCUCGAGGAGCUUCCCUUCAUUCGUUGCUAAGUCAAUGUCCUAGGCCUCCGAGUCAGCCCGCGCUUUUUCGAAGAAUCCUGCACCCAUGGGCAUACGGCCUGGCGGGCCUUCCCUUUCCGCCGGAGCUUCCUGGGCGUUGCCCCGUUCCCCAAUCAGAUGUUUGGAUGUGAGCUAUACUCCGCGAGGAGCCAAACGGGCGUAUGGCCUUGCCAUUUGACCUCUCUUCCCGUGUGACUAGGAAUGCUCAGUGACAACCUCUCAAUUGUCACCGCCUGGCCUCUCUUGCUACCGCGGUAGCACCUAGUGUGGUCAGCACCAAUCGUGUUCGGACAACGAAGCUUACACUCAUUCACAUUGGUUCAUCCUGCUAUGCCCCGGGCCUUUUGCUCUUCUAACGUAAAAGGUGGCCGGCCAUUCGUCAAGGCCCCAGAAUCCGCUGGACAUCUCAGCGGCGGGAUUGAAUACCCGCAUCCGAUCGAAGUUCCAUUUUCCCCUAAAGGAGAGCUGUUUCUAGGUGGGUCGCUUCGCGCAAGACAUUGCUUAGGACCAACGGGUCACACGACAGGUGCACGAUCGACUUUGCACGCUCCAUCCUUCGGCACUUCGCCUAUCGGGUUGGCAGGCAAGCUACCUUGAUCCGUCUUCGGCUUCGAUUCGUUAUGCUCAGAAGCUCCAACAAGCCUUAAAGUCUCUUGCCGCCUAUGCCAAGAAAGCGCUGCUUUACGUUUGAUCCUAUGUGCCCAGAGAAUGCUAUGUGUUCUCCACUUUCGGACCUCGCAAAGAGAGAACGUGUUUUUUCCUCUUACUUUCUCUCUCAUUCGCGGAGCGAAGAAAGCGGGCUUUGCCCCAGCUACCGCUAUCCUUGGGAAACUCAAAGAGCUACCGAAGGAAAGGGAUGCAGUCUCCCCCUUGGCCUUUGGAGAGGAGAAGGCAGAGAAGAAGACGUCCUUCGCGCAAGUUUUUUUGCUUCCUGCGCCCUUACUAGUACUAGUAAAGGGGCUCUUCGACCAAGGAGGCAUUCCGGUAGGAAGGCCGACCACUACAUAAGCCUCCAUCAGUCCAGGAGAGAAGCAAGCUACCUUUCUUUGAUCCACCUUCACGGACAGGGAAGAGAACGAAAAGAGUCCGCGUAUGGUGGGCGUGGUAGGUUCGAGGAUCUUACGCGGCGGAGCGAACUCUUCUAUCGUCUUGCAUUUCCUCUGGCAGCGUAGCUGCACCCCCUCGAUCCAUCGUACUAGAGCGAUCCGAGAAGAACGAUUAGGGUCAUAUUCUAUCCUUUCUACAAUGCCCAUAGACGAAGUGCUUCGUUUCAGAUCCAUUCUUCGCUGCAAUCGCUUCGAUCCACCCCCUCGGUGAAAAACAGUAAUACGCCCUGAAGAAUUCCUACCAGCGGACUUCCCUGUACGUGAAGUGAAUUGUCUCAGUGCUCUCCCCUCUUGGCUUUGUCUCAUUGUUUAUCUCGUAAUCAUUCGAUUCCGUUCGAAUUAGCUCCUACUCCUUCUUCUUCUUUAUUCGUCCUUGGUCCUUUUUACACUAUACUACCUUACUAUAUUCUAUUUCUCUAUGUUAUUGCUCUACAGUGAAAUCAUAUGUCAUUAGUAGAGAGUAGGGGGAUUGGUAUUUAUUGGUAUUGAUAUAUGUCUUCCUUAGACUUUGCUUAUUGAUUAAUAGACUUUAGAUAGCCUCUUUGUCCAAUGAAAAGCACGAGGAUUCCCUCUCUGACGACUUCGGUGAACAAUGGGCAACUCCUACUACUGAAACCAGUGGAUACCACGCCUCUUCCUCUCAUCUCUGGGCUGCUCUUGCUGACUCUUCCCUUGCAAACGGUUCCCCUACCAGAGAAGAGUACUUCUCAACCAACAGAGAAGAGGCGGAUUCCGGUCCGGCAUCCCGUAUAGGGCGGGAUGGAGCUGUUCUCUUUUUGGAAGAGAGUAGGGCCCUGGCUGAGCCUGAGUUUGUUCGUUCUGUGUACGAGGUUGGCUUGCUUUGUGGUGCCGUUGAUACCCUGCCUAGCUGAAUAACUGACCGACGGCGGAAUGGUAAGCUUCUUCGUUCACCUGCACUCGUUCCCGCCAGCCAAGCAGAGUCAAAGCACCCUGAACCGGACCAAAUCCGAAACAGGCUUCGUAGGAAGAAGCGACGCCUACUCUCCAACCAUUCCCCCUGCCCUCGGUGCCUUCCCCUCUCCCCGGCAAUCUUUCAAGCAAGCAGUAGUCAUAGGCACCUUCAUACUCAAGCCAUCAAUCGGCAUAGUAGUCAAGCAAAGCCAGCCCGACCUUCCCUCUCUCCUACUCGAGCUUCGUACUCUCCAAAACAUCAAGUGGCACAACAUCCGUAAUCGGAAGAACAUGAAUCGCCCCACCGGGCGGAUGGGAAAGGAGAUGAAGGAAGAUCAGUUGUAUCAGCUACAGAAUCUGAUUCCGGUGAGGCUACAAGCCUAUCUUCGACUUUCGUUGUUCUUUUUUCUUGCUGUAAAGUGCCAUUUCCGCUCCCCAACGACAGAAGUACGAAAUUACUAACUAGUCUAGUUGCCAUUUCAAAGCCCGUGUGGCAUGGGACAGUUUUAAGGUCUUUCAUUGUCCGAGCAAUGGCUCAAGCAUUCAAUGUCAGAUUGUGUUCUCCCGACGGAUACUUCACAAAUAUUGGGAAGUCCGGAGGCCUUACAAGGGUGAAUCUCCACUCUUAUCUUACAGAAUCACAAUUUUCGAACCUUUCCUAUGAGCUCUUGCUUCUGAGAGUGCUGCUGUGGUAUCUGGUUGAGUGAAGGUGCGAUUGAGCUACCGUCGGGAGCGGUUUGAAGCCAGAUGAUGGAACGCUGUCCACUGGAACAAAGAAAUUGCAUUAGUCACCGUUGUGACCUAGACACGACGUUAGAGCGAGUUCGGGAGCGCCCCGAAUCAAAUUAAAUACCGGCUGGUACGAAGCAGGUCUGGAAGCUUCCAUGUUGAGGAAGUGGCUAGAGAUGCACGAGGGAGUGAAAGCCUCUCUGAUUGAAUGCGGGUCUUGUGUUAUAGGAGCCGAAGCUGCCUAGUCCUUUAGGUCAGUCAGUUAGCCCACUACGCCAUCAGAGACUGGAUUAGAGCUGGACUGGACCUCCACUUUCGGAAAGAUCACCGCGUAAUGGAGACUCGCUUUUGACCUAGAAGCUGACAGAUGGAUUGGCCUUGCCUACUUCAUUGCUCACCUUUUUUCUCCCUUCCUUUCUUCUUUAAAGUCGCGAUUUCAACGAUCUGGUCCUUCGCCCCAGACCACUCUUAUUUCCCUGUCACCCGAAGUAACAAAGUCACACAGCCACCCCCAGCUCUUCGCAAAUUGGACCUUCAACUUCCCUACGACUUCCGGAAACGCGUCUUGGAUGAGCCUAACCGCCGUAUACCUUGAAGCACUGUUGUUUUCAACAGCCAGAUGGUAUCGGAAAGCACCAGCAUGCCCUUCAACUACAAUCACCACAGCGGUGGAAGAUCUUAUUCAGACGAGCGAUCGCGCUAGAACUUUGAAGCAGGGGAAUUCAAGAGUUGAACUUCAAUAGAAAUCAAUAGGAACUUACGGACACUAGUACUAGUGGGAAAUUUUCUCUUCAUUGUCUUUUUUACUUUACAUUCGUUGGACCAAAAAUCAUACAAUAGCGAGAACGAGGAGGAACUCAUGAUGGUACCCCUUAUAAGAUAAUAAGAGAGAGGGUUGGUAGUGAACAGCGGAUCUGCGACACUAGAUCAUAACAGCUGAUAUGCGAUAGUAGUAGUACUAGUACGAGUAAGACCUAUGAAUCUUUGACAGAAAGCCGUAAUUCCAUGAAUUUCAUAAGCCUUUCUUACUAUUUAACCGGUGACGAGGUUACAUAGUAAGAAAGGGAUGCCACCCCUUAGUAGCUAAGUAGCAAGUGAGCAUGCCCCCGUAAGGAAAGGGAAUUCCGAGAGCCCUUACUUAAGCUUAAAGCCGUAAAGGAUACUAAUGGUUCAUCCAGAAACCGAAUGAAGGACGCGAAAGUAAGAGUACAAAUAUGACGUGGAGAAGAGCUUACUGACUUAUGAGCAAAAGUGGCGCGGAAACGCGGAAAAAGAAUAGAAGUCACUCGCGGAUCACAUGCAUGCUAUUGCGACAAGACUUAACACUUACCUAUAAAAUGAAGUAGGAGACUCGAAAACAAAGGCGCAAUUUACGUCACAGCUACUUUCUUGCAACAACUAUAAAACGUAUUUUUCAUUUAUCAGAAGGCUUGUCGUAAGUGAUCACAAUCACAGAACCUUCAGCCCGAUACGAUAUUUCAGGUGUAAUACUCGUGUAGGAGUGUCCCAUACCCAUAGUCAAGAGAAAGUAGGAGUGGGAUAAAGAUAAAGCGGUAUUACAGAAGCGGCUUUAGGAGGUGUUCAAAAGACGACAUUUAACCCAAGGGGAAUGAACGAAGAUAGAAGCAAAAACAGUAGCCAGAUCCUCUUCCCCCAGUUGUCAAAGUCAAGGGAGCUGCUCUUUUUUCCUGUCUAAGUUAGUUUAAUGACGCUCCUUUCCACUUUUAUCAUCCUGCAAGUGCAAGAAAAGGCCCCAACCUAUAGAUAGGGCGUUUUCGAGGAAGUAGGCACCUCUUAGAUCGAUAUCCAGUAGGUAAUGAAAAUCAUCUUCCGGAGCAUAAAAAAAGAAUUGUUUGUUCUUUUAAGGUCCUUAUCCCUCAGCAUACAUUACAUAUUAGUAUAGAGCAGAGGCAUUAAUAUGUAUGAGUUGGGGAGAGAUGGGAUAUAGCUAAUCUUUCUUAAUUAAGCAAAUGGAGAUUUUUUUUUAAGGUUAGGUGAAGGGAGCCUAUUAAUGAGAAAGAGAGCUGUUGAUGUUGAAAAGGCUUCCAUCCUAGUUGUAGUUGAGAAGCAGGAAAGAAGAGUAGGCAUGGGGCUUCUUUCACUUUCUUACUCGUUUUUUUCUUAAGAAAGCAAUGAUUUUAGCGUUUCGGGGAGAGCCUAGGAGCCAUCGUCUUUUUACUCAGCUCAGAUAAGCGGUCAUCAUUCAAUUUAGGCAUAGGGCCAAAGAUCGGGAACUUUCAUUCCCAGUAUAAGUCCUCGAGUUUCUUGAGCGAUUGUUCCAUUAUCCUUCUACAACCCAGUCUUGUGGAGGAGUCUUUGCACGCACAUGAGGUCUGAUGAAGAAUCCCAUGGUCUAUGAAAGACUGAUACAAAGCAUUAGAGAUGCCAUUCUUUGACAGGAUCGGAGAAAUCUCAUAACUUUCCCUAUAUGAUCAAAUGAAAGGGGUCAGAGCCAUGCGAGAAAAGGCUUAACUUUAACUUAAAAGCGCAAAAUUCAAAUAAAUGCUAUAAGUACAGAAAGAUCCCCGAUCUACGAGAAUUCAUUUUGUAUUCCUAGAAAAAGAUCUUGCCCAUUGGUAGUUGGUAUUGAGAGUGGAAAGGCUUAGCAGCAGCUAUUAGUCAUUCUCCUUCUUAAAGCAUCACUUCAAGGCUAACUUAAGAAAAGGCACUAAAGCAAACCACUACUUACGAUUUUUCCUCAUCUUCAAUGUCGCUAAAUAGUGGGUUUUUCCUAAUACCUGUUCCGGUAUACGUUCUGACUUGUAAGGAGAGCCUAGCAAGUCGGACUGCGGACACUUAGCUAAGCUUCAUUAUCCUAACCUAAUUCGGUGUCAAAUUGGACAUCUUUCCUUGGCUAUAAUUUUUAAUUCUAAUAAAGCUCUAUUUGACCUGACCUAGGAUAGGACAAUUCCAUCCAAAAAGAAUCGAAUCAGGUGGUAAACAGAGAGUCUCUAUUAAACCAGAAGGGGAUGGUGACCAAGAUGGCUCCUCUGAAGACGGGAGUUAUUGAAGUGAAUCCUCCCCUGAAGGAGCUUUUGAAUAUGUUAAGGGCCCCGUCUUGAAAGCUGGAAGUAGCUCCUACACCCCUGUUACUCCCAUUCCAUUGGCUUCGACCUCUGUGGAUCCUACCUCCCAAGGGAGAGGUAGUCUCCUAAGGUUUGUGCCUAAGAAUCGGGUUAGAGGCUUGGUUUAGCACUCGCAUAUCAGAUUUGAGCUCCACCUUCCUUGUGCUGCUAUUCCGACAUCAGGUUAGAGCACCAGCUCUUCGUCUUCAUCUAAUUACGAAUCGAAAAUCUCUCUUUUGUCUUUUGUGGCAUUUGACACCGUUAUUGAUUCAUUUCCUGAAAACCUUCUUGCUAACAAGCCAUUGUCUAUUGACUCCAUCACACCUUUUCUCUGAAUCUUCCUUGGAGUUUCGUUGAGCCAACCAAGAUCGGAUAUAGCUAGUUUUCCGGAACCUUCCUUAUCCAGUAAAUAGUCAAAAAGCCCUAACUCAUAAAGCUAGAGUACCUCAUACUCGGAGUCUACCCUUCUACCAACGAGAAGCCAGGUUGUUUUACUCUCUUUCAAACAGCAAUUACAAAUGGGAAGCAAGCGUGUUUUCCCUUAUACAGAGCAAUAGAUCGGGUCUUUGCCAGUAGUGCCAUCCUCCCCGCUGGCGAUGUUACCUACCAUUCCGAUCGUUACGAUAGCAAGCCCCUCCCCGGCCGGAGUUUGACUUGGAGGCGGCGGUCAACCCUCUCCCGGAUAACAGCGAACGAGGAUGAAAAGCAAUAGUCUCCAUAAGUCAGAAGCAUCCAGCAGCGCUGAGAAAGAUAAAAAAAAAAGCAAAGCUCGGGACAUUCAAUGAGAUAUUGAGACGGUUGCUAAAAAGAUAGCUGGAGAAUCGAUAGAUUCGGGUCCUGCUUCUUCGGCUUGGGCGAAAGGUAGUUGUUGUCCUCAACCUCUUUUAGCCUGCCUUGUUAGCAAAAGGUGGAUAUCCUUUAUACUAGGGCUCUCAGUACUACCAUAACCACUCUUCCUAACAGCGAGAUCGUGUCCACCAGUAGGGACUCUCAAAAAUAGCAAUAAAAGUAGCAGCGUAACGACGGAGAGAGAUCUUUUAACUCUUUCUAUAAUACGCGAUAUUACCAAUAAACUAGAUCAAUGGCGGAGAAAUGGUACUGGAUAAAUUCCCAUACUAUAUAGCUUAGAAUGGGCACUAGAACUCAACGGGGCCUCCCUUACCACUGCAACUCAAACCCCUCAUUAAAAAGAAUUUCUCUAGAACCACUGUUAAACAUAAGGGUACGGUGAAACAAUAAUAGAAUCUUCUCUUGCCCUUUUUUCCAAAAAGAAUUCUGCUUUCUUAUGAUUAUGAGAUGUGGUUGGCUUAAAAUAUGCAGCUUACUUAUAGCUUUUCGGCAAUAGAAAACUUCUUUGGCUCAUUUGAUAGAGCUGCUGUCACUCUUACUAACCUUAUUCCCCUUGGAUUACCCUAAGACUGAAGCUAGACGGUUAUUCCACUGUAAUAACAUGCGCUUACCUUGGCACUCAAACUCCAUAGAAGGCAACCUCAGGUAAGGCAUAAAUCUGGGGAGUCCCUUAUGUUCUCGGUCUACCUAUGAAAAAAGAUAUAUGAUAGAUAGAUAAAAUAUAAAAUAAACAUCUUCCUCAUUCCCCCUCCGGGAACUCGCUGUAACCAAGCGAAGGGAGGAUUCUCGUUUAUGAAUAAAUUGGCUUAGCUUAUCAAUGAAACUACUAGGGUUUAGCACUCACCACUGGCAACUGCCAUUGAAAGUAGAUAGCUAGAACCCCUGCUUUCGGCUUGCUUACUCCUACAUUACCUUGAGAACUUAACUGGCUCGUAAUUUUAAGAAAUCCAAGACGAUAUAGGGCAUUCUAUUAGCACUGGCCUGGCAGGCACUAGACAUCUUAUCCACCGGUGGACUCAUAUAUCUUUAUUAUCCCAAGACUGGGCAUAUGUCUUACCGGGCAAUCGCACUAUUGUGAUAAAAAAUUGCUAGACCCGUACAAGCAAUCCUACCUCCUACUACAAGUACAAGGGCACUAUGAACUACUGCUUCCCUGACAACUCUCUCUGGUACUGGCUCGCUGGAAGAGAAAUAGAACUCUUAGGCAAAGAAAGAGUCCAACUCCCACUGUAUACUAAGAUAAAGUGUUACCGUGGACAAAGAGACUGACUCCAAUAAAUGUGGAAUCCCACCAUUGGAAAGGACACUCUUACGGGAACUUACACUCAAACUGGAUGGCUUGUAUUGGCCCUUGCAGACACUCCUACUUAUAAAGUAAAGGUUCUCCAACUCAUUUGCUUUUACCCUUCCUUUCUUGAUGGAUAUGCUUACUUGGCCUAAGGCCUGCAACUAACUCACAAGGAUAUUUACUGGGCUUGCUCCUUAGAUAUUCGAUAUUACUUAUAUAUAUUAUCCUUAUUUGAUAACUUGUUUUUCUACUGGGCCUACUGACCUAACUCUUUUUUGCUUUCAUUUUCUCACUCUCUUUCAGGAAAAGAAGAAUCUAGAGUCAGCCUGGUGAGCUAAUAUUCCUGGGCGAAUCUGGGUGUAGUGUAGGGAGAGUUUCUUUGCUCUAUAUUCCUUACUUUCCUGUUUUCCCGGUUUUGAAAGAGAAAAUCAUUGCAUUUACUUUAAUUAGCCAUCCUUUGAAGCGCCAGAAGGAGCCCAGGGACAUCAGAAAGAAGAAUGCUUUGCACCGGUUUCCCUGUUUUGAGAGCGUGCUGUUGAGUCGUACAGCACGUAUAAGCAAGAGCUUCCCAGAAAAGAACGUUCUUUACAUAAAUUGCGCGAAGAUCGGAAUCGAAGGGCAAAUCAUCAGCUUGAUGCCCAUUCUUUGGACACGAAGUUACUUAUUUACUUAGAAAGAAGAAAGGCAUUUUUUUUUAUGAAUUAGCCAUCUUGGAAGGUCGAAAACCAUAUUCUCAUUCCCCCUUUUUAUCCAAUCGUUCUGAUAGGAGGUAGGCCUCGCCCUAAUUGGCAGUUGACUGACUGAAGUCAGGCAUCAUUCUUUUAUUUGUUCUCUUAUGAUAUUUCUUAACAAUUCACUCUGAUAGCAACUCUUUCACUCAUCCGAGUCAGGCUGGCUUAGCGGUUCUCCUGAAAGGGAUAGCGAAGUUAGGAAUCGACUGGGACCAGAGGAGGACCACUGAGCGAAGAAGACCGGGCAAUUAGUCCUUCAUCCCAUUAAGCUAUCUGAAAGCGCUACAGCACCCUAUUUCGAACAAAGCUAGAAGCCCGGGCAAAGAAGCUCUUUCGGCCAAAGUGGAAAGCCUAACCCAACCGUCACGGAUGAUGCUUACCAAGAGCUGGAGCAGCACUUUCUAACAGCCACUUCUGACUUCCCUCCCUCCAGGAACAGCACUCGCGGACUUAUUGUUUAAACAAAGGGGCACAUCUUUCCUUGCAACUGAUUACAUGUGAGGAGCCUCCCUAUCUUUGCUUUGUUUGGACUGACCAAGGACGUAGCACCUUUUGAUGAGAGAUAUGAACAUCGAGAAAACUAGUAUUUUCUGAAUUAUAUGAAGCCGGUAAGCAAACAGCAAAUCCGUGGGUAUUUGAACCCGAAUGCCCGGGAAAAAGUAGAAUAUUUGAUGGAAGAACGGGAGAUCCUUUUGAGCAGCCUGUUAUAAUAGGAAAGCCUUAUAUCUUGAAAUUAAUUCAUCAAGUUGCUGAUAUGAUAAAAUACAUGGACGUUCCAGCGGGCAUUAUGCACUUGUUACACAACAACCCCUUAGAGGAAGGGCCAAACAAGGGGGACAACGGGUAGGAGAAAUGGAGGUUUGGGCUCUAGAGGGAUUUGGUGUUUCUCAUAUUUUACAAGAGAUGCUUACUUAUAAAUCUGAUCAUAUUAGAGCUCGCCAAGAAGUGCUUGGUACGACGAACAAUACCUAAACCUGAGGAUGCUCCAGAUUCUUUUCGAGUUGUUUUUCAUUUCUUUUCUGAUUCCUCUCACCGGUUUUGAAGACCGCUUAGGACUACUCUUAGGCUUCUAUUCUUUCUUUUUUCCCUUUUUAGAGGACUGGGGUGUGGAUGUAGAUGUCGCCUCUUCACUAUCGACGAAAGAUUUUUCGUCAGCAUAGUGUGAUUCUUUAACUGAGAAUUAAGUCACCAUCUUCUGAUCACCAUCUGCUUUGUAUUUGAAGCACUGAUGAAAAGUGGAGGGGACAACAUAGUUGUUGUGAAUCCAGGGCCUCCCGAGCAAAGCUCGGUACGAUGCGGACACAUUCCUUGUAUUAGAGGAGUUGGACCCUGAGACUGGUAUCAAACCAGAACUGGACUUCUCGGAAAUUUACCUCGAUUAGAGUUUUUCUGCCCGUCUAUUCAUAUUAUCAAAUAACUUUCCGGAAAGAUGAUUCCAUUCCAUAUCAGAGUGAAGAAAGGAGCAAUGAAGCAGUUCCUAUAUACGUUAUUGGAAGAUAGGGAGGUGUUUCAGACUCAUCAAAGUAAGCAAUGAAGCAGUUCCUAUAUACGUUAUUGGAAGAUAGGGAGGUGUUUCAGACUCAUCAAAGUAAGCAACGAGUACUAGUUCAAUGAAAGCGACAUAUCAUGGAUGAGGUCUAACAGAAGGAGAAGGUCCUUCUUUGCGCGAGUCAGGUAUGAGCCCACUUCAUUAAAUAUCAGGAGAUGAGCCGAUGACAAAAGAGUUGAGUUCGCAGCUAACGGCACAGAAGCUCCGAGGCCAAGAGUUGACACCGCUUCUUGACUUCAGACUUCAUUGACGAGUCCGGCAAGAGAAAGAGAACUCUUUCAGACCCUUAGUUUCAAGACUCUGGCUUUCAGUCUUCCAUUUCCAGGUGAGUGUGCGUCGAGAUGACUUCUGUCAAUAGGCAACUGCCACUCUAUUACGCAACCUCACUCCAGUAGCUGUCGUAGUUGAGGACAUAGCUACGAGAGAAGAGCAAGAGGACCUUGCCAAUGUCUUGACCUUCAUCAAGCUGAGGCGCAAGUCAAAUCCGAAUAAGCGGCUUUAUCUCUUGAUCUACGAUAUUGGACUCUCGGGAGUUUGACACAGCCUUUAGAGGGGCAUGACAGCAGAUAGGGACUACCCGCAUGGAUGAGUUCAGUUCCAAGUAAGCAUGUAAGCAAGCAGUAAGUACAGCGUGAAGCAAGUCAAGGCAUGGGCUUUCCUUUAACAGAAAGAAAUGGAGUAAGGGACGAUUCUAGAUAACCUUGUUCUUUCAGGAUGAUAUAGACAAUAGGUAGUUGUCGUAAGAAAGCAGGAAGGAAGAGAGGACAGGGUCUAGCCGAAAAAGGAACUGAGGGAAAAGAGUAGCCACCGAAGAAAGGCGGCAAAAAGACCCUCUCCGAUGAAAGUUAUCUCCUUGAUAGGGGUAUGAAUAUCCCUACAACCAGAAGAUAUCUGAAAGAGCUAAUGUCUUUGCAGAAGCCUAACAUAGUGAUUUUACAGGAACCAGAAUGGAAGAGGACUCAGUUUGUCGGCUUGGAAUCAAGGACAACUUUGAUUACGUAGCUUCUUUCUAGAGGGCUCUAAGGAGGCAUUUGGAUGUACUGGAACCCCGUGAAAAAAGUCAAAUUUAAAAGGACAAGCAAUUCAUGACUGCUAUAGUUACUGAAAUAGAAAGGGGGAAACUUGGAAAAGAUAUAAAUAAAGAGUUAAUAUUUCUUUGUUAUCCUUUCUUCUUUUGACUUCGACACAAGAUUACGUGCAACCAGGUGUAACGUGUCAAAGGUCACCGAGUCGUCGGAAAGGGGAAUAGGUUGUUUUGCGCAUCCAACAGCGGAGUUGCGUAAUAGCGGAUUCGUAGGUAAAUAAAUCGUUGGAUUUGAAAUUGCCUUGGGCGGAUAGGAAUUGAGACUUUCAAUGGUCCGCUCUUCUCUCCUCGUGAUCGAAGCGGACCCCAGAAGUUGGGUAUUCCUUCUUAAGAGGACACUAAACCUCCCGAUCUUGCUAGCCGGGGGCUCAGUCUUUCAAGAUUCAAUCUUUCCCCUUCCUUUCCCAGGACUGAAAGCUGCCUAAACUGGAUCAAUGUGAAUGUCCGAGGAAUCAGAAGUUGAAUCAAUAGUUUUUAGAUACCACCCAGGCCCAGAAUCCGAAAUAACCAUCAGGAGUAGGAGACUAUAAGAAGGGGGUCUAAUCAACGGAGUAACGCAGUCUAAGGGCUUAGUGCUCCAAUUGCGCCUUAGGACUGAUAGGUAAAUGCCCCUGACCAGACUCAUAGAUUCCGUAGCCACAACUAUAGGUUUCCACGCGAAGGGGGUGUAAUGUAAUAGGACCAGAGAAUGCCCAACGUUCAAAGAUUCCAGAUGGCUUCAACGGCAUAAAAGCAUUUCCCAGCUUAGCCGCAACUCCUUUCAGGGUUCUAUAUCCUUGGUUUGCCAGUUCGUCGACAUGCAUCACAGGAACGCACGAAUUAUGUUAUGUGACAUCCUCCAAUAACGUCGGCCACCAUAGACCUGCCAAACACUGAUUCCGUGCAGUAGCAUCCGCACCGACAUGUCCACCCGUGAGGCCUUGAUGCGCCUCUUCCAUAACAUCGUUAACAUCAUUCGAAUACAUCGUCGGUGAACGUCGACCCCUCCGUUCAUUAGCUGAUACGGACUUUUUUCGGGUAUUCCAUCUUUUUUUGAGACCUGAAGAGUUCUUAUUCUUCAAUAGCAGUCCCUUGCCCAGCUGGGUCGAGGUACCAUGCCUUCUCCUUGCCAGAUGGAGAGGGAUUCGAAUGAUGAGAAAGUGCGAUACCUACUUUUAAUGGUAAAUGCUGUAAGCUCCGGCUUUGCGAUAUGACCCACGGACCGAGCGAGGAAGGUGACCCUCCUUACCUUAGGGCUUCAAGCAUUUCGAUAGAAAGAUGAGUGAAAUUCCCAGUUAAGCAUUCACAGAGUGCAGAGUUGGUAGGAGGAGGAAAAGACCAUAGUCCCAUUUGUUCGCUAAAGGUGGGCAGUGGAGUCGGAGGAACUACAUCUGUGGAACACAGAAAGAAAGUGGGAUUUCGUCCUAUAUCUGUAAACUAUUAGGAUCUUUCUAGCUCAGAGUCUCACCCUCGGCUCACUGAACUACCUUUCCAUUUCCUUUUCUUUUUGAUUGAAUUCCCAGCUCAAGGUACAUAGAUUUAGCUGUUUGAGUGGGGGCAUUAGUCAAAAAAAGGCCUAACCGGUGUUAGCAGCUUCUCUGGUCUUGCCGCCUUUGCCCCUCUUCGCUUUUCUCUUGUUUUAGAAGCUGUGAUCGGAACUUCUUUCGCGACUCCGGUACUAUUGAAUAUGUUGCCGGAAAGCUAGUCGUACCAGGAACGAGAAUAUCGCGGGCGGAGUUCGAUUCCCGUUAUACGCGAUGUGGCGAAGAAAAGCGCUUGUUAUUUGCGGAAAGGAAGAAGUCAUCCCUCUUGCUGGAGGAAACUACCUUUCUAUCCUUCUCCUGCCCCUCUCAGUUGGAAAAAGGGCUUUCAGAGGACUUUCCCUAAUCUCCUUUGCUCCCUAAUCCAUUCCCGGUGCCAUUCAACUAUCUGACAAUAGAGUAUCUAAGUCAAAGCUGUUCCCGGGUUCAGGUGAAGAAUGUUAGAAAGACUCUCAUGAAAAAAACCUCUAACUUGGUUCGAGUGGCUGAUAGCUGCUUAUCGCUCCUGUCCAGUCAUCUUAGUCCAUGGCUUCUGUUUCAUGCUUGGUUGAUGGAAGACAGCUUUGAGUGCCGUUACUUUCCCCCUCCAUGCUUGAAGUUCAUUCCUCCGUUGUGCUUUGUCUGUCAUCUUCUUUCUUCCCUUCCUCGGGCACAGUAAGACAAAGAGCUGUUUUCUUUCUUGCUUUGUUUUUUCUUGUUGCUUCUGUUUGGGCUUGCUCCUCUGUUAUCCCUGACUCAAAUCCCUAAACUUAAUGAAUGAAGGAAGGGUCUCCGCUCCUUACCCUAUCGGGCAAGUGGCUUACACUCCUUGCUUGAGAGGUUCACCAUGAUGGGGGGGUCCUCUCUUUUUUUCCCUUCCGGAAAGAAUGAAAUGCAUAGGGGACCAUCCUUUUGUUGCGGCAUGCUCUUCAGAUUUACGGAUUCGUAGGGGGCCUCAGGCCCUAGCUUAGUUGACUGACAAUGACAAAGGCUUUCGAAACUAAGCUAGGGCCUUUUGAAUUGAAUCUUAAGUAGUCUAUCAGUGGGGCGAAGCGUGAAUGACCCUUUUCAGUAGGGGAGCGAAAGGUUAGACCUUCUAAAGGCAGCGAACAGCGGUUCUUCUAUGUAGGUAUGGCGUUCCCCCUUGACUCUCCUAACGUCGAGCUAAGUGACUUCGUAACCUUUGCGUAGCGUAGUAGAAUGAAGGCUACGCACCGACGCUCUCUUAUCUAUUAGCCUAAGCGUCUUCGCUAACUUGCUCGCCUAUUAUACUACACCCUACUAUACAAUACAUUAGUAGGGUAGGCUAACGCUUACUUCUACUAAUGUAUUGUAUAGCCUUUUCCUUUUUGAAAAAGCCUUUUUUUUUUUCUUUCAUAAGUCAAGUAGGCGAACCUAAAGAUCCUUAGUAGCGUUGACAAAGAAGAACAGCCGGGACAGCGAAUCUUUUUUUUUUUUAUAUCCUUAUAAUUGUUCUUAUAUAUAUGCCAGCUUGACAAUGACAUUGCCUCUUGAUUUGAUCUGAGGUGCGAAGAGAAACAUCUCUUUUUUAUGACUUCCACUUAUCGAUCCCGGCCCGGAAAAGUGACCGAAAAAAUGAGAUUAUAGCACAAAGGGGCGCAGAGAUUGAUGAUGAUAUCCUUUAAUGAUGUUCAUCGGAAAAAUCUAGGUAAGACCUGGUUUCCAAGUGGAUUUUUAACGUCAGCGGCCUUCAAUAAGGUGCUUACCCAUUCAAGAGUCUCUUUCGAACUAAAAAAAAGAUCCACUUUUGGGUCGCCAACUUCAUAUCUUUCUUUCAGCCGCUGCUGCUAGCCUUCCUUCCUCGAAAUGCUAAGGCACUCGCCCUCCUAUUCUUCCUCUCCCUUUCUGUAGUCGAGCCCGCGCUUCUGAUCCUCUCUCGAUGGAAGUCUUUCUCGCUGAUGCCCUGGCACGAUCCCCUUCUAGGAAAGGAGCUGUAGACCAGCAGCUACUUUAAUAGCAAUUCAGAGACAUAGGCAAUGCCAACUCUCUCAGAAAAGAACUAAUAGGCCACUUGGAAGAUGAUCUCACCAACCUCUCACCACUUAACGAAAGAGCUGCACCCUCUCCCCUUGCUCGAAUAAGUAAACUGACUUCUUCUCCCUCAAACGCGCCUAAAGCUUUCUCUAUGGUCGACUUAGUAAACUACCUUCUUCUACCGAAUGAGAAAAGAUUGAAUGACUUGCCUCAUUCUCUCAAUCGAUCCGAACUUCUUUUCUGUAUUUAUUGCCUGAUCAUCAUCCCCGUCGAGGAAGUCAACUCCAUCAUCUUCUUAUACCAAAUAGGCCGCAUUCACAAUGGGAAGAGACAUGCCAUCCUUCGAAGAAGGGACAUACCUUGCACUACCUUUAUCUAACCACCUGAUUCAAACUAGCGAUCUACUAAGACUUUCAAGAACCCGGGACCUCAGGAUGCUGUGCCUUGGAAGCAAAUCGAAUACGCUAUUACCAUUUUCUUUCUAUUCUAUGCUUACCCAUCAAGAGCUUCUGCUAAGAGCCAAACUGAAACAAAAGGAUCAGAUUCUCAUAGAAGACAACUCAAACAAUAAGCUGAACCCCCUUCCAGCCCUUGACUUCUCGCUUAGAUCAUCUCGGUCGAGCUAGUAAACUCCCUGACCAUAGAACCAGGUACUUUCAACAUCCCGAUAUUCCUCUCCCCUUGGUCGAGUAAGUCAACUACCUAGCGGCAUUUUUUUAUAAUGAGUACUAAAUUGAUGUUGAACAAUAAUGCCGAACCGUGCCUAAAUAGAUUUUAGCAGCAAUACCUUCAAUCAUAUUAACAUGGAGCCAAAUGAUGGGAAAUAACGUACAUAAAUUACCAAAAAUAAACACUACAUUAUCAGACAUGGUGUAUUAAGAUGAUAUAAUAAAAACCACAAGGCAUCAUGCCGAUGGCAAAGCUCUAUACUUUUGCCACAUGAAGUGCCCUCUUUCCUUGCUGGUAGUGUUCCCAGUGCACAUCAGCAUAGUCUUUCACUUUCUUGUAUAUUUUUUUUCUUUCCUCGUUGAUCAAACCCUCUUCUGGUCCAAUCUCUUUAUUUGGUUCUGGUGUGUAGAAGACAGCCACAGAAAUCCUCUCCUUCUCUGAGCUGGUCAAAACCCUAUGAACUGGGCUCUUGAACAUUCCAUUGGUCAUUAUCUGCAUUAACUUAGGUAAUCAUUCAUGAGAUGUUUUGUAUUACUAAAAUUGCUUGUUAGAGUUUAAACUGUUUGAGACACCUGUUAUGUAAUCCAUUUUCUCCUUAACAUUUAUCUAGCCAAGUGAAUUAUGUCACUGGUCAAGAUGUUUUUGCCAGAUCCAGCAUGUUUAGGCACAGAGCAUUUGGCAAGCUCUGGCGAUAGCAUUUUCCAAACAUAAUAGAUUAGCAUCAACCAUACCUCCAUUUGAUCACCCAUGAGUACUAGGAGAGCGUCAGAAAUUGCAGGAACUGUGAGCCAUCGCUCAUCUUGGAAGACUUGAAGACCUUCUACAUCGUCUUGCAAGAUAAUGGUGUACCCUGAUCCAUCUGCAUGGGCUUUCAAACCUAGAACAAGAUCAGGCCUCUGACACCGUGAGUAGUAGUUGAACCUUGCUUGUAGUGCUGCUCGUUUGCCAAACUGAUUCAGGAAGCAAUCUGCUUCCAAGUUCAAUGACUUUGCUAUAGCUUUCGAAACAAGCUCUGUGAAUAUUUGCAUCCUAGAAGUGUAUUCCUCUAAAACCUCUCUGCAGAAUUAUGAAUAUGUUGUGCGCAUAUUAGAAGUCAAAAAAAUUCUGAUCUGAAUGCAAAAUGUUUGAAAUUCUUUAGAACAAGUCAUUGUGAAUCCUCUAGUGCUGUUUGCUUGUUAGUUUCCUAUAAUAAAAAUCCUUUACCAGUUCUUCCCAAGAAAACUAUCAGAUUCUUUCCUAAUCACUGUUGCUAUUUAUGAUGAAGAAGAUGAUAUAAAACAUAUGCUUAGGACAUCUUACUUUUUAAAUGUUCAGUCAUGUGGAAUGUUUUGUGCAUUAAUUGAUGUCAAAUCAUAGUUUAGAAUUGAGAACACGCACACAGACACACAUAUCUUGCUGGAGUUUGUUGAGGAUACAGGUUUUCUGAUAAUAUAUCUGAAUUUCCCAAGGCUAUCUUUGAUAUGUUCUAGCAGUCGAUGUAUACAAAGAGCAUGCUGCAGACCUGAAUGAUUUUGGAUUCUCCGGCCAAAACUUAUGCUUCCUUCGAUCUUCUGGGUAUACG